rnacentral:rRNA from 1 species
AGAGUUUGAUCAUGGCUCAGAUUGAACGCUGGCGGCAUGCCUUACACAUGCAAGUCGAGCGGCAGCGCGGGGGCAACCCUGGCGGCGAGCGGCGCACGGGUGAGUAAUGCAUCGGGAACGUGUCCUCUUGUGGGGGGAUAACCAGUCGAAAGACUGGCUAAUACCGCAUGAGCACGAGAGUGGAAAGCGGGGGACCGUAAGGCCUCGCGCGAGAGGAGCGGCCGAUGCCGGAUUAGCUAGUUGGCGGGGUAAAAGCCCACCAAGGCGACGAUCCGUAGCUGGUCUGAGAGGACGACCAGCCACACUGGGACUGAGACACGGCCCAGACUCCUACGGGAGGCAGCAGUGGGGAAUUUUGGACAAUGGGGGCAACCCUGAUCCAGCCAUGCCGCGUGUGUGAAGAAGGCCUUCGGGUUGUAAAGCACUUUCGGACGGAACGAAAUCGCACGAUCUAACAAGUCGUGUGGAUGACGGUACCGUAAGAAGAAGCACCGGCUAACUACGUGCCAGCAGCCGCGGUAAUACGUAGGGUGCGAGCGUUAAUCGGAAUUACUGGGCGUAAAGUGUGCGCAGGCGGCAGAGCAAGUCGAGUGUGAAAGCCCCGAGCUUAACUUGGGAAUUGCGCUCGAAACUACUUUGCUGGAGUGUGGCAGAGGAAGGUGGAAUUCCACGUGUAGCGGUGAAAUGCGUAGAGAUGUGGAGGAACACCAAUGGCGAAGGCAGCCUUCUGGGCCAACACUGACGCUCAUGCACGAAAGCGUGGGGAGCAAACAGGAUUAGAUACCCUAGUAGUCC